GAUUACCCAGCGAUUCCACUAGUGCCAGACAUCUGUUCAGCCGACACACCUGUUAACACAUCACCUCUUCAAGGACUCUGUAAUUUCUGUGAACUGACCAUAACGAUUGUGUAACACAAACAAGGUUUUCCUGUAGCCCCAGCUGGCAUGGAACUCGCUAGACAGACCAGGCUGGAAUGGAUCUCACUUGACUUGCUUCUGCCUCUCAAGUAAUGGGAAAAAAGGAGGGAUACACACUCCAAAGUCGGAGCCUAAGACUUGGUCUUGAUUCUUCCACUUGCCUCGACGACACCUUGUCCAAGCUCAAGUCAUUUAAUAUGCUUUCUGUUCUCUGUUUGCUUACCUAUGAUGUGGGGCUCAGCCCUACCCUCCUAAAGAACUUAAUGAUGAUUAAAAGGACAGGCAAACAAA